GCAUCGGGGGUUCAGUGGUAGAAUGCUCACCUGCCACGCGGGCGCGGGUUCGAUUCCCGGCCAAUGCA
rnacentral:tRNA from 1 species